rnacentral:rRNA from 1 species
AGCGGCGGACGGGUGAGUAACGCGUGAGAAUCUGCCUUUCAGUGAAGAAUACCCUUGGGAAACUAAGGUUAAUGCUGCAUACGCCCCUUCGGGGGGAAAAAUGGCCUCUUGCUAUUGCUGAAAGAUGAGCUCGCGUACUAUUAGUUAGUUGGUGGGGUAAUGGCCUACCAAGACGAUGAUGGUUAGCCGGCCUGAGAGGGUGAACGGCCACACUGGAACUUAGAUACGGUCCAGACUCCUACGGGAGGCAGCAGUGGGGAAUAUUGCGCAAUGGGCGAAAGCCUGACGCAGCAACGCCGCGUGAAGGAUGAAGGCUUUAGGGUCGUAAACUUCUGUUAAGUGGGAAGAAAUGCUUAUUCUUAAUACGGAUAAGAGAUGACGGUACCAUUAGAGAAAGCACCGGCUAACUUCGUGCCAGCAGCCGCGGUAAUACGAGGGGUGCAAGCGUUAUUCGGAAUAAUUUGGCGUAAAGGGUACGUAGGCGGUAUAUUAAGUCAGUUGUUAAAUUCUCUAGCCUAACUGGAGGUCAGCAGCAGAUACUGGUGUACUUGAGAAUGGAAGAGAGAAGUGGAAUUCUCGGAGUAGCGGUAAUAUGCGUGGAUCUCGAGAGGAACACCAAUGGCGAAGGCAGCUUCUUGGUCCAUUUCUGACGCUGAGGUACGAAAGCGUGGGUAGCAAACAGGAUUAGAUACCCUGGUAG